rnacentral:rRNA from 1 species
UACGUAGGGAGCAAGCGUUGUCCGGAAUCAUUGGGCGUAAAGCGCGCGUAGGUGGCCCUGUAAGUCCGUUGUGAAAGUCAAAGGCUCAACCUUUGAAAGCCGAUGGAUACUGCAGGGCUAGAGUACGGAAGAGGCGAGUGAAUUCCUGGUGUAGCGGUGGAAUGCGCAGAUAUCAGGAGGAACACCAAUAGCGAAGGCAGCUCGCUGGGACGUUACUGACACUGAGGCGCGAAAGCGUGGGGAGCGAACAGG